UGAACUCUGUUAGCUCUUCUCUCACUAUCUUUUUUCCUAGGGUUCUUCUCUCACUAUCUUUUUCUCAGACAGGGUAAUAGGAAUAGAAUGGCCUUUUGUUUCACUGAAACUCUGAAUUUAUAGCCUGAUUUUUGUGGACCUGUGGACUCAAAUGAAAGAGGUCCAAGUCCAAGAUUUUUUCUUUUAUUUAUUUAUUUAUUUAUUUAUUUAUUUAUUUAUUUAUUGCCUUAUUU
rnacentral:lncRNA from 1 species